AUGCAAGAGCUAGGACUGGGCAGUGAUGUGACGCUAUUCACUGCAUCAGACUUCGGCCGAACGCU
rnacentral:tRNA from 1 species